rnacentral:tRNA from 2 species
GCCUAAGUGGCGGAAUGGUAGACGCAAGGGACUUAAAAUCCCUCGGAGGCAACUCUGUGCUGGUUCAAGUCCAGUCUUAGGCACCA